rnacentral:rRNA from 1 species
GACGAACGAUGGCGGCGUGCUUAACACAUGCAAGUCGAACGGAAAGGCCCUGCUUUUGUGGGGUGCUCGAGUGGCGAACGGGUGAGUAACACGUGAGUAACCUGCCCUUGACUUUGGGAUAACUUCAGGAAACUGGGGCUAAUACCGGAUAGGAGCUCCUGCUGCAUGGUGGGGGUUGGAAAGUUUCGGCGGUUGGGGAUGGACUCGCGGCUUAUCAGCUUGUUGGUGGGGUAGUGGCUUACCAAGGCUUUGACGGGUAGCCGGCCUGAGAGGGUGACCGGCCACAUUGGGACUGAGAUACGGCCCAGACUCCUACGGGAGGCAGCAGUGGGGAAUAUUGCACAAUGGGCGGAAGCCUGAUGCAGCAACGCCGCGUGCGGGAUGACGGCCUUCGGGUUGUAAACCGCUUUCGCCUGUGACGAAGCGUGAGUGACGGUAAUGGGUAAAGAAGCACCGGCUAACAACGUG